AUACCGAAAAGGCAAACUCAUCGAAAGACGUGGGCACAAAGCCACGGGUCUGAAGCUUGGCGCAAGCCAUGUCAACCCCGAUUCAAUC
rnacentral:ncRNA from 1 species